GACGAACGCUGGCGGCGUGCUUAACACAUGCAAGUCGAACGGUAAGGCCCUUCGGGGUACACGAGUGGCGAACGGGUGAGUAACACGUGGGUGAUCUGCCCUGCACUUCGGGAUAAGCCUGGGAAACUGGGUCUAAUACCGGAUAGGACCACUGCCUGCAUGGGUGGUGGUGGAAAGCUUUUGCGGUGUUGGAUGGGCCCGCGGCCUAUCAGCUUGUUGGGGGGGUGAUGGCCUACCAAGGCGACGACGGGUAGCCGGCCUGAGAGGGUGACCGGCCACACUGGGACUGAGAUACGGCCCAGACUCAUACGGGAGGCAGCAGUGGGGAAUAUUGCACAAUGGGCGCAAGCCUGAUGCAGCGACGCCGCGUGAGGGAUGACGGCCUUCGGGUUGUAAACCUCUUUCAUCACCGACGAAGCGCAAGUGACGGUAGGUGCAGAAGAAGGACCGGCCAACUACGUGCCAGCAGCCGCUGUAA
rnacentral:rRNA from 1 species